CUCGAUCGCGACCCCAG
rnacentral:rRNA from 6 species